GACGAACGCUGGCGGCGUGCUUAACACAUGCAAGUCGAGCGGUAAAGCCCUUUCGGGGGUACGACGAGCGGCGAACGGGUGAGUAACACGUGGGUGACCUGCCCUCAGCUCUGGGAUAAGCCUGGGAAACCGGGUCUAAUACUGGAUAUGACUCCAUGACGCAUGUUGUGGGGUGGAAAGCCUUGUGCGGCUGAGGAUGGGCCCGCGGCCUAUCAGCUUGUUGGUGGGGUGAGGCCUACCAAGGCGACGACGGGUAGCCGGCCUGAGAGGGCGACCGGCCACACUGGGACUGAGACACGGCCCAGACUCCUACGGGAGGCAGCAGUGGGGAAUCUUGCGCAAUGGGCGAAAGCCUGACGCAGCGACGCCGCGUGAGGGAUGACGGCCU
rnacentral:rRNA from 1 species